UUGACCAAUGAAGAUAAAAAGAAAUAUGGUACUGCGCAUAGAGAGAUAGGCAGUUAUUUUCAAGUGGACUAAGAAAUUGUUACAGAAGAAUUUCUACUAUCUGAAAAUUAUAUAUAAGAAGAAAAAUACAAGUCAAGGUGGUCUGAGUUGUUUACUAAUAGCAAAGUGUAGGUGUGGUGUAGGGCCAAUUCAGUAGCCACUGAGCCACAACAUAAGGCUCAGUCCACAGAAGUCAGAAAAUUGCCUGUGCUUUAAAAGGAGGUGAUGUUCUUGACUUGAUGUGAUUUCUGCCCAGUACUCUGAAUGUCAAAGUGAAGAAGUUCAAUGAAGUGCAGGUAAAUGGCAGGAGUAACUAUGACUUUCUUAAGGUAGUCAAAUGCCUGGUCAUCUAAUUAGUAAUGCACAUGAAUGGAUGAAGGAGAUUCCCACUGUCCCUACCUACUAUCCAGAGAAACCACAGACAAGGGAAUGGGUUUGGCA
rnacentral:ncRNA from 1 species